rnacentral:lncRNA from 1 species
CUUAUCGGUUGUCUAUGAACAAAGUGCAGUAGACUAGUCAGCCGAGAACCUUUGGAAGCAAAGCUAAGAAAAUAUUUUGACGAUUCAACGUGCGCCUUCUACGUACGAAACGUCUCUUGAAUUUUGACACUGGUGAGUCUAGGUGAAAUAAAAUGACAACAGGACCAUGUGCAGUAACAAUUUAAUAGCAUGAGCAGGGAAAAUCCAAUACUUGCUGCUCAGCUAACAAUAGAACGAAGAAAUAAUCUACACGACAGAGUUCUCUAAGCCAAUGUGAGGUCAGAAUACACAUGAAUAUUGAAAUGCUAGUACAUUUUUUUAGUGUAAAAUUGAAGAAGGUUUCCGUAUUCGCGUUGAAUUGAUGCC